GCCGUAGCUAAGUGAUAGAGCAUCUGCAUUGCAUUCAGAAGGCCCUAGGUUCAAUCCCUGAUGUCUCCA